CCUUCUCUAUACAGUGAGCUAUUGUUGCUGUUGCUUUCUGAACUACAAAAUGAGUUUUCCAUUCAUUCUUGAGUGAUUAUUGAAUGAGACUAAAUUAUAAAGGUAAUGUUUUAACUCUAACUCCAGAUGUUUGUUUGUGUAAAUGCUGUGUGUGUGUUGAGUUCUGCGCGAGCGGGGAGUUGCCAUGGAAACGGGGCGUCAACGCAAAUACCAUUACUGGCAAGCAGUAAUCUCCGUCUCUCGCUGCGGUUUACACUGUUUUAGGAGGACAGAAAUAAACUCGAACUCUAGAACAGAUGUGAAGCUCCAAGAUUUCAACAUUUCUGAAGGGAGAUACUAUGUUAGAAAUACAGGUGAACUGAAGAAGCUCAUGAAAUACAUUAAUAUGCCUUUUUCAGAAUAUAUUUCACCAAUUUAAAGAAGUCCCUGACAUCAAAACAUGGCUUGUUUUGUUCCUGGACUCUUCAGUGAUGAUGAGCAGAGUCUGAGUGAACCUGCUGUCAGACAGUGAGUACCCUGAGUACCCUGGGGUUUCAGUCAGGGCCUUCAGUAAACAACUGUUAGAUAUCUGUACACAUCUUACACAUCUCUGUUACAGCUAACGCACCCGGAUGUGUAAUGCCCAUAGUAUGCCACACACAGGCUCUCAACAACAAUGAUGGCUGGUCAACAACUUCAACAGUAGGCUAGAUUAGUGUGGGUUAAAGGGAUAGUUCACUGAUAGUUCACUUGGCUGAUAGACAUCACGAUGCUGCGCCGGAAACAGCGUCAUCUGCUCCAAUAUCACGCCUGUGCAUCCGUAGUCAUGCGACAGAGAAGUCACGUCUAUGGACAGUUGUGAAAGCGCUGACAGCUGGGUGCCCAGGCUUUGGAAUAAAGGUAAUACUGUUGUAAGUAGUGCUCAUUUUCAUGUACAGACCGAUCAUUUCUCUUCAUUAGAUGUCAAUGUGUCACCAGGAGACACCGGUAUUGAUAUGGUCUUGUUGUUUUUUUGUUUUGUUUUUCUCAAAAACCGGCAGCCGCUGACUUGCAUUUAAGAAUCACCAAGGACAGCGGUUUCACCUAAAAACCUUUACUGUUCUACUGCAGAAAAAAAACCUUGGAUGAGCUGAGGGAGAGUAAAUUAACAGCAAAUGUUAAAUCCCUUUAAAUGCAGAGUAAAUUUCCCUACAUGCUCAGUAAAAGUAAUCAGCCAAUACACUGGUGACGGGAAUGACGACGCCCAAAGCAGCAGAACUGUACAAAUGCUGGACAUCCACACACCGCACCACAGUAUUAUCAGCUAGAGAUUGACCAAAAGUAGGUUUUACCGAUACUGAUAGCUAGGUUAGGGCUGUGCGAUAUGGACAAAAAAAAACCUAUCAUGAUGUUUUGAUCAAUUUUGCGAUUUCAAUUUUAAUCACGAUUUUGACACACACAGACAUGCUUUACAGUCAUACAUGCAUUCAGUAUAAAUUUGAAACAUAUUUCCAAAAGAAAACCAAUGAGAGCUUAAUCAAAAAGUUGUAACAUGUCUCUAGAACAGACUUAAGUCAAAAUAAUCACUAAGUAAAUAUGGCAAACAAAAUCUAGACAUAUGGCAAAAAAUUAUAAUAAAAAACUGAAAUAAAACCCGUGUUCAGGGAUGUUUUUUUUUUGCCAUGUAUUGGUUAUAAAGCUCACUGUAGCGGUGCCUCUGGUGUUAUAUGAUUUGCCCAAUAUAUUUAUUGCCCAGUGUUCACACAUACUUAUGCAGUGCGUAUACAGUAAGUUAUGUGUAUGCGGUUCAGAAGUAGCAACGAGAGCGCAUUGUUGUAAUGCGAAAGCACAUUAAAAUAAUGCACGAGCGCGAAUCCGUCUGCUCGCACGCAGAUUUCCUUUGCUCUGUUAACAAAACGUUUUACCACGUUCAGUGUGAACGUUAUGAUCUGUUAACAUGGACUUGAAAAAAAAAAAAAAGGCUACGCAUCACAGACAGAGUGUGUGAACCUGGCAUAUGCCCAGUCUGCUCUGUUUUUGCGCUCCACUUAUGUGCGCUGCAUCCUGAUUGAUUCAGAUAACAUACUGUGGGAGGUUGGGGCUGCAGGAAAUCGUGCUAUAAAGCGAUUUAGAAAUCCCGCUCACUCAAAUCGAGAUUUUAUUUUGAUUUAUCGCACAGCCCUAGGUUGGACCACACUGGCCGAUACUGAUUUAUCAACCAAUAGUUUUUAAAAUGGAUACUGUGCCACGUGAUCCUUCAGAAGUCAUUCUGAUUUGCUUCUGAAGAAACAUUUCUGAUUAUUAUCAGUGUUGAAAACAGCUGUGUUGCUUCAUUUUUUCAGGAUGUUUUGAUGAAUACAUUUUUAAAACAGUACAGAGUUUAUUUGAAACAGAAAUGUUUGUUUUAACUUUUGAUAAUUGAUAAGACAUUGAUAAUAAUUAAAAAUGUUUGAGCAGCAAAUCAGAAUGUGCCCCAGCAUCCUCAGAUCAUUCUACACCUGCACUAUAGAGAGCAUCCUGACGGGCUGCAUCACGGCCUGGUUCAGAAACAGCACCGCUGGCAACCGUAAAGCUCUGAAAAGGGUCGGGGAUAGCUUUUUCCCUCAGGCAAUCAGACUAAUGAACAGUCAGAACUAAUACACCCUACAGAAUACUCCCACAAUAUAGUAUGCCACACACUGCACUUUAACUUCACCAGUUCAACACUGGACUACACAUACACACUGCUUUUAACACAAUACCCCGUUUCCGCUGGAUACCAUCCAAUGCACAUGCAUGACAUUUCUGUAUCCAUUUCACGUACACUGUGUUGCACCUUAGCAUAUUUUUAUGCUUAUAUAUGUUUACAUAAUGUGGAACGUGUACAUUCUGUGUAUAGUGUAUAAUGUUUAGUGCUAACUGUAUGUAUGUACAUACUGAGUAUAAUGUGUAGUGUUAACUGUAAGUUUGUCUAAUAGUGUACUGACUAUAUGUAUGUGCAUAUUGCGUAUUUUCACCUGUUGAAGUCUGUCUGGAUAUAUGUUCAUUGUUUCUGCACUUUCUGUAGCAAGCUCAAAAGAAGUUCACUCACCAAGGCACAUGUGCUGUAGUGAGGUGACAAUAAAAGUGACUUGACUUGACUAGGAUCAUGUGACGCUGAAGACUGGAGUAAUAAAAAUUAGCUUAGAUCACAGAAAUAAAUUACAUUUCCCAAUAUGUAGAAAACUCUGUUGUGUUAAAUUGUAAAAUUUCACAAUAUUACUGUUUUUAAUUCCUUUUGAUCAACUAAAGGCAGCCUUGGUGAGCAGAAGAGACUUCUCUCAAAGAUGUAAUAAAUCUUACUGACCCCAAACUUUUAACGGUAGUAUAAAUUACAAAUAUGAUGUUCCAGCUACUGAAAUGGUACUGUGGCAUGUGUAUUCUGUUCUAAAGAGAAGCCUGUUCCACAAAUAAUACAUUUACAGAGAUCACAUGAAACACUUCAUCAGUAAACUGAUUUCUGAGAGCAUUAGUGGCAGUGUGUUGAUUUUUGUUUUUUUAUUUGUGAAGUGUAUCAUGUGAUUGAGCACCUGCCUAAAGUUUUUGGAUGUGCCUUUAUUAAACCUACUUGUGAUCAAAUCAGAUAUAUAUAGCAGAAUAAGCACAAAUGUGGGCAGCAGCAGCUGUGGUGCUUGACCUGUAGUGAGGUCACUAAAUUCUAAUAGCAAGAAUUUGUCAAAGUCCACUAAAGGAAGUAGAACUUUGGGGUAUUCCUCUUUGAAAUAGCCUUGCUAAUAAUAUUUGGGGCUUGGGCACUUUUUUAGUUUAAAUUAGAUUAAAAUACAUAGUUUAGUAUUCACACAACACAUCUAAUAACCAUGCACUCCAGUUAUAUGUGAUUAAAUACAUCAUCUUUUGUCUGAAAUAAUAUGAACAGCAGCAGCUAUGCUUAACUUUCUAUUUUUUAUUCCUGUUUCUAUCUCAGGAUGACCAUCCCAAGGUUUCUAGAGAUGACACCAGCUCCAGACUCAAUCCAAACUCACUUGUGAAGACUUCAGAUGACACCAACGCUCACAAAGACUACAGACAACGGCGACUGUACAUGAACACACAAAACCAUAUUUAUUUUAUAAUAUUUUAAAGAUAAUAUCAAACAAAAUAACUAUACACAAAAUAUUAUCCUUAUUUUGCCUGUAAGAGUAAAUUUGAUGAUUUUCAACCUGCUUUAUUGCAAUGUCUCUAAUAUGUGUAAAUGAACAGUAUGUACUCUCUCUGAGUUAUGUGGACCUACAUGUCCCCUUUUAUUUGGAAACAGCACUCUGCAGGAUGAUGCAAAAUUAAAUGAGUUUUGAGAAAAUGACACAAUGCAGUACCUAAAUAAAAACAUGCUGUUUUGCAAAAUGGAUUGAAUAUUUUUUAACUUGCCCUUUAAAAAUGUUGAAAGACAAUGUUAAUGUUAACUGAACACAAAACUAGAGACUUGUUUAGUAAUAUUUUAUCAGAAAAUAUUUUUGAAUUUUUAUCAUGCAAUUUAAAACAUUUUAAUUGCUUAAUUAUUGUUUGCCUGGGUUUAUUUUGUGUCU